CCUACGGGUGGCAGCAGUAGGGAAUAUUGCUCAAUGGGGGAAACCCUGACGCAGCAACGCCGCGUGGAGGAUGAAGGUUUUCGGAUUGUAAACUUCUUUUGUUAGAGAAGAUAAUGGCGGUGUCUAAUGAAUAAGCACCCGCUAAUGCCGUGCCAGCAGCCGCGGUAAUACGGAGGGUGCAAGCGUUACUCGGAAUCACUGGGCGUAAAGAGCGCGUAGGCGGGAUAGCAAGUCAGAGGUGAAAGCCUAAGGAUUAACCAUAGAACUGCAUUUGAAACUGUUAUUCUAGAGUAUGGGAGAGGAGAGUGGAAUUCCAGGUGUAGGAGUGGAAUCCGUAGAUAUCUGGAGGAACAUCAGUGGCGAAGGCGACUAUCUGGCACAUAACUGACGCUGAGGAGCGAAAGCGUGGGUAGCAAACAGGAUUAGAUACCCCUGUAGUC
rnacentral:rRNA from 1 species